rnacentral:rRNA from 1 species
UUGGAGGGCAAGUCUGGUGCCAGCAGCCGCGGUAAUUCCAGCUCCAAUAGCGUAUAUUAAAGUUGUUGCAGUUAAAAAGCUCGUAGUUGAAUUUCGAGACCGGUUUAUUGGUCGUGCUUUUGUACGUACUGGUAUUAUUGGUUUCUCCUUUCUGACGAAUCAUAAUGCCAUUAAUUUGGUGUUUUGGGGAAUCAGGACUGUUACUUUGAAAAAAUUAGAGUGUUUAAAGCAGGCUCACGCUUGAAUACAUUAGCAUGGAAUAACGAAAUAGGACGUUUGAUUUUAUUUUGUUGGUUUCUAGGAUCGACGUAAUGAUUAAUAGGGAUAGUUGGGGGCAUUAGUAUUCAAUUGUCAGAGGUGAAAUUCUUGGAUUUAUUGAAGACUAACUACUGCGAAAGCAUUUGCCAAGGAUGUUUUCAUUAAUCAAGAACGAAAGUUAGGGGAUCGAAGACGAUCAGAUACCGUCGUAGUCUUAACCAUAAACUAUGCCGACUAGGGAUCGGAUGAUGUUAAUUUUUUAAUGACUCA